rnacentral:antisense_RNA from 1 species
CGGAGCCGGCGGGCUCAGGCGGGCGCGGCUGAGGGGAGCGGACCGCGGGGGGCGGGAUGACUGCGCCCAAGGCCUUUGCGGGCCUCAGCCGGCCCCAGAGGAAGGGAAACCCGUCGAGCGGUUUGGUUAGAGCAGCCAGCGGGUACAGAAUGGAUUUUGGAAGAGGGAGUCACCACUGGACCUCCAAGGAAGCCACGUGCAGACGUCUACAACCUUCGAUCUCCUGACGAGUUUAUUGUUGGCCAAAACCAGGCUUUGAUUGAACCAGGAUGAAUGCGGGUGUUGGAAGUAGAAUAUAUAUAUACAUAUAAAAUUGGUUGGGAGCCACGUGUACCAGUGUGUGUUGAUCUUGGCUUGAUUCAGUCUGCCUUGUAACAGAAACUGGCGAUGGAAUAUGAGAGGAGCCCUCUGGAAAGAAAAGGACAGACCCUGUGCUUUCAUGAAAGUGAAGAUCUGGCUGAACCAGUUCCACAAGGUUACUGUAUACAUAGCCUGAGUUUAAAAGGCUGUGCCCACUUCAAGAAUGUCAUUGUUAGACUUUGGUGAAAUUUCUAACUGCCUACCUGGCUAAAGAAAAUAAAAUCUUUUAAAUCAAAA